rnacentral:rRNA from 1 species
UACGUAGGGUGCAAGCGUUUGUCCGGAAUUAUUGGGCGUAAAGAGCUCGUAGGCGGUUUUGUCGCGUCUGCUGUGAAAACGCGAGGCUCAACCUCGCGCCUGCAGUGGGUACGGGCAGACUAGAGUGCGGUAGGGGAGAUUGGAAUUCCUGGUGUAGCGGUGGAAUGCGCAGAUAUCAGGAGGAACACCGAUGGCGAAGGCAGAUCUCUGGGCCGUAACUGACGCUGAGGAGCGAAAAGCGUGGGGGAGCGAACAGG